GACGAACGCUGGCGGCGUGCUUAACACAUGCAAGUCGAACGGAAAGGCCCUGCUUUUGUGGGGUGCUCGAGUGGCGAACGGGUGAGUAACACGUGAGUAACCUGCCCUUGACUUUGGGAUAACUUCAGGAAACUGGGGCUAAUACCGGAUAGGAGCUCCUGCUGCAUGGUGGGGGUUGGAAAGUUUCGGCGGUUGGGGAUGGACUCGCGGCUUAUCAGCUUGUUGGUGGGGUAGUGGCUUACCAAGGCUUUGACGGGUAGCCGGCCUGAGAGGGUGACCGGCCACACUGGGACUGAGAUACGGCCCAGACUCCUACGGGACGCAGCAGUGGGGUAUAUUGCACAAUGGGCGGAAGCCUGACGCAGUAACGCCGCGUGCGGGAUGACGGCCUUCGGGUUGUAAUCCGCUUUCGCCUGUGACGAAGCGUGAGUGACGGUAAUGGGUAAAGAAGCACCGGCUAACUACGUG
rnacentral:rRNA from 1 species